rnacentral:rRNA from 1 species
GGGAGGCAGCAGUGGGGAAUUUUGGACAAUGGGGGAAACCCUGAUCCAGCCAUCCCGCGUGUGCGAUGAAGGCCUUCGGGUUGUAAAGCACUUUUGGCAGGAAAGAAACGUCAUGGGUUAAUACCCCGUGAAACUGACGGUACCUGCAGAAUAAGCACCGGCUAACUACGUGCCAGCAGCCGCGGUAAUACGUAGGGUGCAAGCGUUAAUCGGAAUUACUGGGCGUAAAGCGUGCGCAGGCGGUUCGGAAAGAAAGAUGUGAAAUCCCAGAGCUUAACUUUGGAACUGCAUUUUUAACUACCGGGCUAGAGUGUGUCAGAGGGAGGUGGAAUUCCGCGUGUAGCAGUGAAAUGCGUAGAUAUGCGGAGGAACACCGAUGGCGAAGGCAGCCUCCUGGGAUAACACUGACGCUCAUGCACGAAAGCGUGGGGAGCAAACAGGAUUAGAUACCCUGGUAGUCCACGCCCUAAACGAUGUCAACUAGCUGUUGGGGCCUUCGGGCCUUGGUAGCGCAGCUAACGCGUGAAGUUGACCGCCUGGGGAGUACGGUCGCAAGAUUAAAACUCAAAUGAAUUGACGG